GCGCCCGUAGCUCAACUGGAUAGAGUGUUUGGCUUCGAACCAAAAGGUUGGGGGUUCAAGUCCCUCCGGGCGCACAA
rnacentral:tRNA from 3 species